CUUCUCUGAGGCCCCCCGCUGACUGUGGACGCAAACACCCCCUGCUUCCCUCUCUUGCCAGGAGCUCCUGACCCUGUGAACUCCAGGCAGCUCUUUACCCAACAGAUCUUGACACCCGGGGAAACAUUUCUUGAAGCAAUUGCACAAUUGCAUUUUAUGCCUGGAAAUUCCACUUAGGCUGUGCUCCUAGGGAAGGAAUCUGGACCCUGCCUCUGCCCAGGGGCCCUCCAGGUGCCCCCUGCGAUCCUGCCUUUCUGGAGGGGAUGCUGUGCUCACCCCAGGCAUUCAUGGGGGCCCCUGGAAUCCUCUUCCAGAUCAGAUCAGCUGAGGCUAGAGCUGGUGCCAGCGUGGACUGGGAACCGCCUGGUGGCUAAGGCCAUUUUCUCCAGCUUCUGUGACGGUGACUACGUGUGACCCGAGGGGAGAGAGAAUUAGUAAUUGGUUCCAAGGUAAAUUAACAGAGGAGAUGUAAUGAGGAGUGUUGACUUUGUGCGAUAUUACUCGGUGCUCCUGUGCAAUGAUUGGAUUUGCAAAGUCUGUGACUCAGCUUGUUCUUUGGGGAAUGAACCCAUAAAAAUUGAGAGCUAAUGAGAGCAGCCGUGUUCCUCUGACGCCAGGUUCAGAUCCCGGAGCCACCUGGGGGAAAGGCUGUGAGGAAUGGAGAAGGAUCUGCAUUGGAAAUGGCACGAGGGGCCCUGCAGACUGACCCCAUUCCUUCUGGAAUCCCUUCUCCUCUGCCUGGAGGACGCACACAGAAGGCCCUCACCGGAUGCCAGCACCUUGAUGUUAAACUUCCCAGACUCCAGAACUGUGCAAAACACGUUUCUGUUCAUCACGAAUUACCCAGUUCCGGGUGUUCUGUUACAGCAGCAGAGAACAGACGGAGGCAGAGGGAAAGCUGGUCGCCGAUUCUCCUUCUGUGAGGCCGUGAGCUCUGUGGAUGGGUGUCUCAGGGGAGAAUCGGGUCCUUCAGUUUGGGAGCCCUGAGUGGAGAGAGCAGCAAGAAGGGGCCAAGCAGGUGCUGUCCCCGGGACUCCUGGUGACUGAGAGGCCAGCAGGAAAGAGAAGACGCCGCAGGAGCCACAGAUGGGAAUCAAAGGAAGCAAGUGAGGCUCACCCGGUGACCUGGAUUCCAGAGGCCUGGCCCCCAGAUGUGCUGAGAGUAGAGGGAGACGCACCCUAACACGGCAGGGGAGAUUCCUGAAGGCAUCGCUGUCCACGGCUUCCGCUCAGUGUCACUUACCUGGUUAUUUACAGAAUACAGUCUGAAGUUAUCUCCUGGGCUCUGACGGCCAGCCCUUUGCUCGGAAG